CCUACGGGGUGCAGCAGUGAGGAAUAUUGGUCAAUGGACGAGAGUCUGAACCAGCCAAGUAGCGUGAAGGAUGACUGCCCUAUGGGUUGUAAACUUCUUUUAUAUGGGAAUAAAAUGUUCCACGUGUGGGAUUUUGUAUGUACCAUAUGAAUAAGGAUCGGCUAACUCCGGGCCAGCAGCCGCGGUAAGACGGAGGAUCCGAGCGUUAUCCGGAUUUAUUGGGUUUAAAGGGAGCGUAGGUGGAUUGUUAAGUCAGUUGUGAAAGUUUGCGGCUCAACCGUAAAAUUGCAGUUGAAACUGGCAGUCUUGAGUACAGUAGAGGUGGGCGGAAUUCGUGGUGUAGCGGUGAAAUGCUUCGAUAUCACGAAGAACUCCGAUUGCGAAGGCAGUUCACUGGACUGCAACUGACACUGAGGCUCGAAAGUGUGGGUAUCAAACAGGAUUAGAUACCCCAGUAGUC
rnacentral:rRNA from 1 species